rnacentral:rRNA from 1 species
UGGGGAAUAUUGCACAAUGGAGGGAACUCUGAUGCAGCGACGCCGCGUGAACGAAGAAGGCUUUCGAGUCGUAAAGUUCUUUUAUAUGGGAAGAUAAUGACGGUACCAUAAGAAAAAGCCCCGGCUAACUACGUGCCAGCAGCCGAGAUAAUACGUAGGGGGCUAGCGUUGUCCGGAAUCACUGGGCGUAAAGGGUUCGCAGGCGGAAAUGCAAGUCAGGUGUAAAAGGCAGUAGCUUAACUACUGUAAGCAUUUGAAACUGCAUAUCUUGAGAAGAGUAGAGGUAAGUGGAAUUUUUAGUGUAGCGGUGAAAUGCGUAGAUAUUAAAAAGAAUACCGGUGGCGAAGGCGACUUACUGGGCUCAUUCUGACGCUGAGGAACGAAAGCGUGGGUAGCAAACAGG